rnacentral:lncRNA from 1 species
AAGCAAUUUGCUCAUAGCCAUAGCUUUCUUGUGAAAGUAGGAUAUUAACCCAGGUGUCUUGGUGCUGGAGAACAGAACUGGCCAGAGUCCAUCCUGUCUCCCACCGGCAUCCCAUUACGAAAUGAACACAGAAAAGGCAGGUCUGCAAUGCCAACAUCUAGUAUCUAUCCCAAAGACCAGGGAGAAAGGAAGGAAAGAUUCUGGUUCUGUCCUCUUCCCCAAGGCAAGGCUGGCUGCCCUACCAACAGAGGCAAAGAGAAGAGUGUGCAAGGCUGGCUGCCCUCCCAACAGAGGCAAAGAGGAGUGUGUGUUGAAAUAUCCAUUGAAUCCCUGAGACAACUGGAUCCUGGCCCAUUGAAUCAUAAACUCAGCAGAAUCUCACAUCAUAACCCCAAAUGACCUGUUACUCACCAUGUGGCCCAGCUGUCUUCAAACUCACCAGCCUCCUGCCUUAGCCUUCUAAAUGCUUGGAUUACAGGCAUGACCCACCAUAACUGGCUUUGUUUUAGUUUCAGAGAAGAUGAAACUGAUGUGCGUCAAAAAGCUGGUAGUCUGUCAAGGAAAUGAGCUGAACAUGUCUGUGUACAGCUUUUGUGCCAUCCCUGGAUGAGCGAGCUGUCUGCCUCUAUGUUCUCCACAAAAUGGAAUAUAGCUGUACACCCAAGCCAAGUUAUGGAGGCUGGGAAGACCUAGAAUGUGGCAUCACUAUUUGCUUCGACAAUUCUGUGGAGAUAAACUUUCAGUAGACGUGGAGCAGAUUAUCACAGUUGAAUUGUGCUGAGAGAAGAGCUGAAAUGACUAAGCUCACAGGAAAACUACCAAAGGGCGUUACUGAAUGUCCAGUUUACAGUCUCCAAAGGGGAGCUGCCUCUGCUGGUGGUGAUGCAUGGAACAUGGCUUUAUUGUGUGAACCUUGGAAAUGGACACCAGAGAGUCCUGGACUUGUAGUCGGUGUAGCAGAAGUUGAUCUGGGGCCGAGGUCUUAAGAUUUCUGAGGCUCAAGACAUGAGUAAUAGAUUGCUAGUCUUUCCAUGGAUGAGAACCGGCAAAAUCUCUAAGUGAGAAAUCACAUCAUCUAUAGUUCAAAGCAGAGUUCCUAUUCCAAUGAGAAAGAAUACUCAUCAGAAGGUCAAGGCAUGCAACCAACCAAUCCAUACGAUGUGUUCCAAUAUGCUCAACUCUGCUCUCAAUGUUUUGCAGCAUGUCAGAAUGUAAACUUAACAGCAACCUCUGAGGUGUUAAAUACAGACAAGUCAAAGUAGAUUAAAUCUAUUUCAACAUAAAGAUUUGAACAUGGCACUCUGCCCCGGAAAUGCAUGUGACCCCCUCAAUAUGCUGCCUUUGCUGCACAACUGUCUUUUUGUACUCUUGUAAUGUUGAUGGCUUGUGCAUCAUCAAAACCAAACAAACGUCUGUUGGACUGACAGACGAUUAAGAGUCAAUGUCUGAGUGGAGGAUAAAUGUGAGAAACUCCACUAGGAGGAGACAACCUUUCCUCCAUCAAAAAGACAGCGCUAAGAAUCCUUACCAUUGUAAUCUGGUCCAUAGAGAGAGCAGCAUCCUUUCCCUAACGAUUACCCAUUUCCUAUUAGCAAAUGACUCCUGUGAUGCUUCCCCAGCUAAAAUAGGACCCAAAUUGGCUAAGUACCAUAGACAAUAUGUGCAAUUCUGUUUUUAAAAAUCACCAGAAGUAAAAGGGUCCAUUCAAAUAAAUGGAACAAGAAUGUCCUGAGCCAAACGUGGAAGAUUGCCUCUUCAUUUCCAGACUUUGUUUUGGUGUCAAAGCAGUUCUCUAAACACUGGCUGUUAAACAUUUCUAGUAAAAGGGAUAGUGUUUGUCAAUUUCAGCUUGAAUGAAGCCCAUGGAAGGGAAAACAAACUUUGUCACCAGUAUCUUUCAUUCAGCUAUAAUUUUUUUCUUCAUUAGAGUAAAAUGAAGCCUAGGAUUAUGAGAUUUUUCUGGCUUUUACAGUACUGGGUAUUUAACAGUUCUAUUGCUCUGUCUUACUCUAGUGCUGUGCUUGUAUGGCCACCGAGUGAGUGUCCAUUUGAGGGUGUUCUGAACAAAGGCCUGUUCCCUAAGCUCUUCUAGACUGGGGCACGAAAAGAAUACAUUUCUGUUGAGAGUCACGAUUCUAAUCCUAGCAAGUGUUAUCCUACUGGGUUUCCCUGGAAAUGGUCCUCCAGGUCUGAAUCAAAAUUCAUUAUCUUCUAAGUUGGGAAGAAAAUGUAUAGAGGGAAAGAAAUCUGCCAUUUCUUCAAGUGUUUCAUACAAGUAUGAUUGACUUAGCCACUGAAUGCUUGGCACGAUAUUUGAACAUACUGAAAAUUUAGGCUGAGAGGGUUUUCAAAUAACUGAAGGCCAUAUGGUGACCUUCCUAAAAAUUACUUUGCAUAUUCAGUGUGGACUGUUGAGAAAUCAUUUGCCAGUUUUAUGACUUCUUGGCUUCCAGCCCAUUCAGCUUAGGCCUUCUCUGGUCAUGCAGUCAUAUUUCCACAACUGUGUGAUAGGAUCUCUGCCAGUGCUAUCUGAAUUCCUUACAGCUGUCCUCGGUAGCCCUUCUGUUUGCUCAGAGAGGGGCAGACUCUUUUCUCAGUAGAAUCACGAAUGCUGCCUUUAAGUUUUGUUUGCACAUGGACACAGUCAUAAACAGACCCCUUCUCUCAAUCACUCAUCUAUUAACUAGCGCUAGUUCAUUCACCAUUGUCAUGGUGGGCUUUCCGUGUGUGUCUUGUUCUAUGCUACAUAAAUAAGUGAGAACUGCUGAGUAUCCUUCAAGAUCCAGUGGUCUGAUAAGAAUGAGGGAUACAUGAGUCAACAUUAGAGUAGCUAGUGCCACAUUCUUCAGAAGGCAAACACGCAUAAUGAGGUCUUGAGGGCGGAUGUGACUUGAGGAGGAGAAGUGGGAAGCAAGACCAGAAGAUGACUUUGAGGGCAUUAAGGACCUAUUCUCACAGAUUUUGGAGGCUUUUCAGCACAUUUGCUCUAUUUUGUCACUGACACAUUCUUUAUGAGACCACACGACACACUAAGAAGAGAACAGACAUGAAGUAUAUUUCUGUCACUUGCUAAUUUAUGUCUUUGACAAAUGACCCUACUUCUGCUAUGGCAGAAGACAUUUGCCAGUCCAAUACUGGUCCACAUCUAGACUCCAUACUCUUUGUCCAGAAAUGUUCUCUCUGCCAUAGUCUUGGUGUUAUCAGUUUGUGCUGUGAAAAACUAAUUGCUUUCCCUAUCAUGCUGAUCAGUCUCCCAGAAUAGAGUUUAUAAUGUCCAGUUGUAGCAGUGAAUAGUUAAGCCACACUGAGCUCCCAACUGUUCAAGAAUACUCUGCACCAGCCCAAGAACUCUGCAUUCAUGAAUCAAAGACACACAUACAUGCACAGAGAGAGAGAGAGAGAGAGAGAGAGAGAGAGAGAGAGAGAGAGAUUGAUUGAUUGAUUGAUUAAUUGAUUGAUUUAGUAUGCAGCUAGCACACACUCCCUCUGGUAUUCCUGAGUUAUCAUUUUCUAAAUCUAUAUUUUAUCUUUGCUUCCCCAGACCUAAGCAGGGGAGUGACCCCUGGGGCCACUUCCCUGACUCUUGCAUGCUGGCAGGCCUUUAAUUCUGAUCUCUUGGCUUCCCCACCAUAGCGUGGUCCAUUCUACUACCCUCUCAUGUAGAAUCCCUUCUUCUUCUCCCCUGCAUUUCUUGCCCAGGAAUCCUAAAAGUCCCGCCUCUUUCACUCUGCCCAGCCAUUGGCUGUUGGCUCUUAAUUGAUUAAUCAAAAACCAAUUGGGGACAGGAACCUUCACCGUCUGGGCAUGCAGAUUCUCAUGUGAUUUUUGGAGUCGAAUUAAGACAAAGCAUUUGAACCAAUCCCAACAUCUGGCCUUGGUUCACAACAUGAGACCCACCCAGUUCUCUGCAAGAAGACUUAAUAAUGGAUGUUGGGGAAGCAACCAAUAGUACUGCUCCUCGCUGGUGUAGGCCUCCUAGCUUCCAGUAGAAAGAUCAUCACUUCUCUACAGAGUCAGAAUGGUGAAUUAUGUUUAUAAUAACACUUCUGUAGUUCCAGAUUAUAAAAUAUGAUUAUGUCAAUUUUCUGCCACAUCCUAUGAGCCUUGUUUGAAGCCCAUGCUUAGAGAAAGUUUACAUUAUCUUUCUUCCAGGCAAUGACUACAACAUUACUCUAUUUUCUUUAAGGAAAAAAAAAAAAAAAGAAAGAAACACCGACUCUUGUAACUGAUUCUUUGAAAUAGGAAUUGAUUUCGUUCUAUUGUGCAUUACAAGUCUGUAAUUCCCUUUUUGAUUUUUCAGAGGGUUAGAGUUAAAAGAUUGCCUUGAAUAUCACAAAAAAAAUUUGGACUUUGAGACUGUACUGAGAUCAUGGAAAACUGGGGAAUUUUAACAUUUGAUAAGUGAAUUUUGCAUUAUGGUUUGGCUACAAGCUUAUGAGGGCUCAGGGAUUAUAAUGUGGUGGUUUGAAUAAGAAUGGACCCCAUAGGCUCAUGUAUUUGAAUGCUUGGUCUCCAGUGAGUGGUACUGUUUGAGACUGAAUAGGAAGUAUGGCCUUGUUGGAGGAGGUGUGUCACUAGGGGGUGGGCUUUGUGAUUUCAAAAGCCUAAGCCAUUUCCUGUUGGCUCUUUGUCUCAGUCGGCUUCCAACUAGGACAAGCCAUAAAUUCUCAGCUCCUGCCACAGCUCUAUGCCUCACCGCCUUGUUGUCCUGUUGAUGGUCAUGAACUCUAAACUCUGGAACCAUGAACCUCAAUAAACAUGUUCUUUCUUAAGUUGUUUUUGCCAUGGUGACUUUCUAGCAAUAGAAAAGUAAAUAAGACAGUUUUUUUUUUUUGUUUUUUUUUACAGAAAUUAACAUCUAAAUUCCUGUUUAACUGGAUAGACAAUUCUAAGUCAUUUUAUUUUAUUUUCAGCACCUAGAAAACAAAACUGUAUUAUCACCUUGCUUCCUAUUGCUCUGUUCCAAAGCUCUAUAACGAUAUUUUACUAUUCUGUGUUCUUCAGAAUUAUUUUGUUCUUUCAUUCUUCACAUGUUAAGAAUUUUCUUUUUCUUUUGUCUUUAUAUUUCCAAAUAAUACAUCUCUAUAAAAUAUUUGUUGGCUGUUUGCUCUUGUGACAUAGUGUUUCCUGUGUCCCAGGGUGGUCUCAAACUGGCUAUGUAGGCAAAGAUGACCUUGAACAUCCAACCCCUCCCUCUGCCUCUACUUCCUGACCUCUGAGAUUCUAAGCAUGUGCCCCAUCGCCAGGUCAUGUAACUCUGGGGAUGACCCUGAGCCUUUUGUGUGCUAGGCAGGCACUAUACCAACUGAGCCGUACCCCUAGCCCAAUGAUAUUUCUCUUCUCAAUUUGAUUCUUGUAGAGUUUGUCUCUCUUCUUUUACAUCCUGUUUAUAUUGUAUUAUAAUAUCUAGAAUAGAUGUUAUCAGUUCCUUUCCUUCUGAAGCCACAUAAAAUUCUGUGACUACCUUAUCCACAAACUGAAAUUAUGUUCUUUCUAAUGUUUAGAAAAACACUAAGCCAGGCGGUGGUGGUGCACACCUUUAAUCCCAGCACUUGGAGGCAGAGGCAGGCAAAUUUCUGAGUUCUAGGCCAGUCUGGUCUACAGAGUGAGUUCUAGGACAGCCAGGGCUAUA